rnacentral:lncRNA from 1 species
GUUGGUGACCUGGGAAAACUGCAUGAGUCAAGCAGAGAAAAGAAUUGUUAUUUGUCACCUGAAAACUCACUCUCCCCACCCCCAACAGAGGAGUUUUUCAAGACAAUCUGUUCUUCAAGCAUGAUGAUGAUUCUACUCAUUGAAAGAUGGGAAGUCUUCCUGUUGGAGCCAGCCUGGGACAAAUCAUGAAGUAGACCAUGUUACUUCUACUCCAGAGGACAUCUCCCUUCAUCCUCCAAGUUUCUCAAGUGCCUCUUGCUGCUCCCUCCCAUCCAGAGCUUGCCACCCUGAAACGUCUCCUUGUGCAGAUGCGUCCACUUCCUAUGUCCCCCUCGAGUACUCUAUUUCUCUGGGAUUCUGCUUUAUGUUGAAAAACUGAUAAGCAGAUUUAAAGCAAGGACAAAACAUGUUUAAUGG